rnacentral:lncRNA from 1 species
CUUCAAUAACGGCAUGAUGGUGACCUGCUCCAAAGACCGAUCCAUUGCUGUGUGGGAUAUGGCUUCCCCAACUGACAUCACCCUCAGGAGGGUGCUGGUGGGCCACCGAGCUGCGGUCAAUGUUGUCGACUUUGAUGACAAGUACAUCGUUUCUGCCUCUGGAGACAGAACCAUAAAGGUAACAACAGGCCACCUCUCAGGAAGUUCACAACUGCAGCAAGGAGUUUGUGUGGUUGAGGACAGCUCUGUGCAUAAGUAUUGUUGUAGAAUAAUUUAAUAAUUCAAUUCAAAUUUUAUCUUUUUUUUUAAGAUUUGUUUUAUGUAUAUGAAUACACUGUUGCUGUCUUCAGACACACCAGAAGAGGGUGUCAGAUCCAUUACAGAUGGUUGUGAGCCACCAUGUGGUUGCUGGGAAUUGAACUUAGGCUC